rnacentral:rRNA from 1 species
UACGUAGGAGGCGAGCGUUGUCCGGAUUUAUUGGGCGUAAAGAGCUCGUAGGCGGUCUGUCGCGUCGGUCGUGAAAACUUGGGGCUUAACCCUGAGCUUGCGGUCGAUACGGGCAUGACUGGAGUUCGGCAGGGGAGACUGGAAUUCCUGGUGUAGCGGUGAAAUGCGCAGAUAUCAGGAGGAACACCGGUGGCGAAGGCGGGUCUCUGGGCCGAUACUGACGCUGAGGAGCGAAAGCGUGGGGAGCGAACAGG